GACGAACGCUGGCGGCGUGCUUAACACAUGCAAGUCGAACGGAAAGGCCCUGCUUGCAGGGUACUCGAGUGGCGAACGGGUGAGUAACACGUGGGUGAUCUGCCCUGCACUUCGGGAUAAGCCUGGGAAACUGGGUCUAAUACCGGAUAGGAGCCAUUUUUAGUGUGAUGGUUGGAAAGUUUUUUCGGUGUAGGAUGAGCUCGCGGCCUAUCAGCUUGUUGGUGGGGUAAUGGCCUACCAAGACGGCGACGGGUAGCCGGCCUGAGAGGGUGGACGGCCACAUUGGGACUGAGAUACGGCCCAGACUCCUACGGGAGGCAGCAGUGGGGAAUAUUGCACAAUGGGCGCAAGCCUGAUGCAGCGACGCCGCGUGGGGGAUGACGGCCUUCGGGUUGUAAACUCCUUUCGCUAGGGACGAAGCUUUUUGUGACGGUACCUAGAUAAGAAGCACCGGCUAACUACGUG
rnacentral:rRNA from 1 species